rnacentral:rRNA from 1 species
GACAGAGGGGGCAAGCGUUGCUCGGAAUUACUGGGCGUAAAGGGCGCGUAGGCGGGAUGGCAAGUCGGUCGUGAAAUCCCUCGGCUCAACUGAGGAUCGUCGAUCGAUACUGCCGUUCUUGAGGAUUGCAGAGGAGACUGGAAUUCCCGGUGUAGCGGUGAAAUGUGUAGAGAUCGGGAGGAACACCGGUGGCGAAGGCGGGUCUCUGGGCAAUUCCUGACACUGAGGCGCGACAGCGUGGGGAGCAAACAGG